CCAAGAAGAACCCAAUUGGGACAGUAUUGGGGGUGGUAGAGCUGGUUCCAGUAGUCAUUCAGAAAUGGAAUUUCGACUUUUUUGUUGCUCCCUUGGUUCCUUGUGAAGAAUGGCAAUUUGCAUAAUGUAGAUUUAAACAAACCAGUUAUGCAGAUGAAAAGUUCAAUCAUCCAGCUGCACCAGCGGCUGAAGUUGAAUUAUGAAUCGCGUGGGGGUAGUAACCAUAAUGCCGAUCGUCUCAUGAUUAGGAAACGGGAUUGCUCAGACGAUUACGGCAAUAGAGAGGAUGGCAAUAUCCCAGAUUAUAAGGACCUCAUGCCACCACCGAGCGAAGAACCAGCAUCGAGAAACUAAAGUUUAACGAAAAUUACUCACCGCUGCAGGGUUGGCGGCUAUAUUGCCGUUUUAUUAUAUCGAUGUUGACGUACGACAUUUCUUUCCUGAUUUCUACUGGAAAAAGUAUUUCAUUUCUCUGUAGAUUAUUUGGUGUCUACAUGGAUCAUUCGUAUCAUGCCCGUGUUUCAGUUCUUGAAAAAAAUCCUCGAUCGCAAUGACUGUAUCGGUAGGAAAACGGACAAAUAUUCGUGAAAACAAAUCGUUAUUCACAUCUUAUUGGAUUGUUCCGAAGUUGGAGGCGGUAGUUUCAAGCUGGCCAGAAUCAACCUACACCGCAUCUGGUGGAAUUGAACCUUACCGAAUUUUGCGUAGAUUUUCGCUACUAGGAUUGGUGGAUGUUCCGGCUGAGCAGCAGACUCCUCGGGACGCUCCCCUGUACACCAUCGGAAAUUAAGCUUGUUGGCAGGAGGGCAAUAUGCUCCUCG